CUCACUGCUAGAUGCGGUAGUAGAAGAAUCACCUCCAUUGAAGAACAAUGAAAAAUUACUCUAAGCCUUCAAUCUUCAGUAGCAUGGAUGAUCAUAAUCAGUGCUUUUGAAGAGGACUUUUCUGUUAACCCCAGAAUACUGCAGGCAAAGUAGCAAUGAACUGAAACUGCUUCCACCAUUGUGUUGCAUCUGACAUUUAUUCAUUCCUUUAUGAACUGAGUUGGGCUCUAAAGAGACUCUAAGAGAAUGGAGGUCCCAGCCAAGUCUUCCUGCAACCAUGGUCUCUGUCCCAGCACCAACCAAGUUGGAGUACACUCUUCAAGCAAGGACCCUAAAUAAGUAUUUAAUCUCAUCAACUGCUUUUUG